GGCCGGCGGGCGCGCGCUUGGGGCGGGGGGCGCGCUCGGAGCAGGGGCGAUGGCUCGCCCCCGCGAACGGGACCAGUCUGCCGGCUCCCCAGCGCUGCGGUCGUUGGCGGGGCGCGUUUUAGCGCCAGGGUGCCUACUGCUCUCGGGGUGACCGUCCCCUUUUGUGGCUCACGGAGUGGAGUCUGCGGUUGCCUUUCUGCGCUGCUGACCUGACGGGGUGCGCACUAAGAGGUCGCUACGAGGCCGGGACCCGUCCCGCGAUCCCCUCCCCCUCCCGGCUGUGUCCUCACCCCCGGCCGGGGACUGCAUCGUUUUUGGUGUGUAUUUCUGGAAUCAGAUGGAACUGAAUCCUCCUAGGACUGUGCUGCUUCUGGUAAAAGCCAGUAUCCAAACCCAAGAGUUUAUCUGGAACGUCCAGACAUCUGGGCCCACAGAUAGUGAAAAAUGGGACUGUCCCAAUAAACGCAGAUGGCUGGUGAGCUUGUGGUACCACGCACUCAUUUUCAGGCAAGAAGCUGAACUGAACAACCCGUUCCUCUGCUGAAGACGGCCGAGUCUAAGCAAGCCACAGGUUCCCUUUCGGUUCUAGGGAACAGGAACACUGCACCAGGGGGGUGGGAAGGGCCAGAGACAGCAGUGAGAUCAAUACGGUGUGCGCGGCAGUGGAGAGAGGACAGCGCUGCUUCCUUCUCCCAAAGCUUGAAGGAGGAAAGGGUCUGGCAGGACUGGAGCCUGGGUCUUCACUGUACAGUGCUGGGGUGACAGGGCCUGUCCCCUAGGAGGUGCUGAGUAAUGCGGGCCUUAGCUACCUAAUCCCUCCCAGGGAGUCCACUCCCUUCUAAUGAGACACAGGCUGAGCUGGCAGUCUGCCUCCUCCGAGAAGCCGCCCCUGAUUUCCCUUGUCCAGUUCUCAUCUCUGGGCCUUUGUUUUCAUUGGGCUGUCCCUCCUGUCAGGUGCCCCAGGACAGAGCUUGUGUCCUGUUCACUGUCCUCCAUGUCCCCGAUGGUGCCUGGGACAUAGCUGAAGAUCAAUACAUGUUUGGCAGGGAAUUAAUAAAUGAAAAGAAUGGGGCUUUA